AGACCCGAAACCCGGUGAUCUAGCCAUGGGCAGGUUGAAGGUUGGGUAACACUAACUGGAGGACCGAACCGACUAAUGUUGAAAAAUUAGCGGAUGACCUGUGGCUGGGGGUGAAAGGCCAAUCAAACCGGGAGAUAGCUGGUUCUCCCCGAAAGCUAUUUAGGUAGCGCCUCGUGAAUUCAUCUCCGGGGGUAGAGCACUGUUUCGGCUAGGGGGCCAUCCCGGCUUACCAACCCGAUGCAAACUGCGAAUACCGGAGAAUGUUAUCACGGGAGACACACGGCGGGUGCUAACGUCCGUCGUGAAGAGGGAAACAACCCAGACCGCCAGCUAAGGUCCCAAAGUCAUGGUUAAGUGGGAAACGAUGUGGGAAGGCCCAGACAGCCAGGAUGUUGGCUUAGAAGCAGCCAUCAUUUAAAGAAAGCGUAAUAGCUCACUGGUCGAGUCGGCCUGCGCGGAAGAUGUAACGGGGCUAAACCAUGCACCGAAGCUGCGGCAGCGAACGUAUCACUUAAAGCGAUUCAGCGGGUUACGAUUGACGGAGCGAAGCGACGUCAAAGCGUAUACAAAGUCGAGUCGGUUUAAGGAUACGUUCGUUGGGUAGGGGAGCGUUCUGUAAGCCUGCGAAGGUGGCCUGUGAGGGUUGCUGGAGGUAUCAGAAGUGCGAAUGCUGACAUAAGUAACGAUAAAGCGGGUGAAAAGCCCGCUCGCCGGAAGACCAAGGGUUCCUGUCCAACGUUAAUCGGGGCAGGGUGAGUCGACCCCUAAGGCGAGGCCGAAAGGCGUAGUCGAUGGGAAACAGGUUAAUAUUCCUGUACUUGGUGUUACUGCGAAGGGGGGACGGAGAAGGCUAUGUUGGCCGGGCGACGGUUGUCCCGGUUUAAGCGUGUAGGUGUGUGUUCCAGGUAAAUCCGGUUCACUUUAACACUGAGGCGUGACGACGAGGCACUACGGUGCUGAAGCAACAAAUGCCCUGCUUCCAGGAAAAGCCUCUAAGCAUCAGGUAACAUCAAAUCGUACCCCAAACCGACACAGGUGGUCAGGUAGAGAAUACCAAGGCGCUUGAGAGAACUCGGGUGAAGGAACUAGGCAAAAUGGUGCCGUAACUUCGGGAGAAGGCACGCUGACACGUAGGUGAAGUGAUUUACUCAUGGAGCUGAAGUCAGUCGAAGAUACCAGCUGGCUGCAACUGUUUAUUAAAAACACAGCACUGUGCAAACACGAAAGUGGACGUAUACGGUGUGACGCCUGCCCGGUGCCGGAAGGUUAAUUGAUGGGGUCAGCGCAAGCGAAGCUCCUGAUCGAAGCCCCGGUAAACGGCGGCCGUAACUAUAACGGUCCUAAGGUAGCGAAAUUCCUUGUCGGGUAAGUUCCGACCUGCACGAAUGGCGUAAUGAUGGCCAGGCUGUCUCCACCCGAGACUCAGUGAAAUUGAACUCGCUGUGAAGAUGCAGUGUACCCGCGGCAAGACGGAAAGACCCCGUGAACCUUUACUAUAGCUUGACACUGAACAUUGAGCCUUGAUGUGUAGGAUAGGUGGGAGGCUUUGAAGCGUGGACGCCAGUCUGC
rnacentral:rRNA from 1 species